rnacentral:rRNA from 1 species
GACGAACGCUGGCGGCGUGCUUCAUACAUGCAAGUCGAACGAGAAGCUCACUUCGGUGAGUGGAAAGUGGCGGACGGGUGAGUAAAAUGUAGAGAAUCUGCCCUAGAGAGGGGGACAACAGAGGGAAACUUCUGCUAAUACCCCAUAUGAGCGUACUUGAGAUAGUAUUCUUGAAAACUCCGGUGCUCUGGGAUGAGUCUGCAUCUGAUUAGCUAGUUGGGGGUGUAAUGGACCACCAAGGCGAUGAUCAGUAGCUGGUUUGAGAGGAUGAUCAGCCACAAUGGGACUGAGACACGGCCCAUACUCC